AUGAACAAAGAGUUCUCCUUCCUUCUCUUCAAUCACUGUCGCGAACCUUCCUUCUUCCACCGCCUUCUUCAUCUUAGUUUUCACCCACCGUCGUCCUUUAUGUUAAGUUCUGGAAAUCAAGACCGGCUCAACCUUCACCAAUUCGAAACCCUGUUCAUCUUCUUCUUACAAACCGUCACGGCCCUUUUUCCUUACGCCCUCUCUUGA